GUUUCCAAAUGACAGAUAGGGUUGUCUACACUCGGGACGUUAGAAGAGGCGUGUAAACCCACCCCACCAGUUUUUCUACCAAAUCUUUGUAUCUGCUCUCAGCGCUGUCUCAACCCAGGCGUAAAAAGCUCUCCGAUCUCUCUCUAGAGCUUCAUCGCCAUGUCUCAGGUGGAUAACAGGAAUUCUUCAGCGGCAAAGCGAGCUCGAACUGACGG